ACAUGCACCGUUACCCCAA
rnacentral:misc_RNA from 1 species